rnacentral:rRNA from 1 species
AGAGUUUGAUCCUGGCUCAGGAUGAACGCUGGCGGCGUGCUUAACACAUGCAAGUCGAACGAACCUUCGGGUUAGUGGCGGACGGGUGAGUAACGCGUGAGAAUCUGCCCUCAGGAGGGGGAUAACGGCUGGAAACGGCCGCUAAUACCCCAUAUGCCGAGAGGUGAAAUGAAUUUCGCCUGAGGAUGAGCUCGCGUCUGAUUAGCUAGUUGGUAAGGUAAGAGCUUACCAAGGCAUCGAUCAGUAGCUGGUCUGAGAGGAUGAUCAGCCACACUGGGACUGAGACACGGCCCAGACUCCUACGGGAGGCAGCAGUGGGGAAUUUUCCGCAAUGGGCGAAAGCCUGACGGAGCAACGCCGCGUGAGGGAUGAAGGCCUCUGGGCUGUAAACCUCUUUUCUCAAGGAAGAAGACAUGACGGUACUUGAGGAAUAAGCCACGGCUAAUUCCGUGCCAGCAGCCGCGGUAAUACGGGAGUGGCAAGCGUUAUCCGGAAUUAUUGGGCGUAAAGCGUCCGCAGGCGGCCUUUUAAGUCUGUUGUUAAAGCGUGGAGCUCAACUCCAUUUCGGCAAUGGAAACUGGAAGGCUGGAGUGUGGUAGGGGCAGAGGGAAUUCCCGGUGUAGCGGUGAAAUGCGUAGAUAUCGGGAAGAACACCAGUGGCGAAGGCGCUCUGCUGGGCCAUAACUGACGCUCAUGGACGAAAGCCAGGGGAGCGAAAGGGAUUAGAUACCCCUGUAGUCCUGGCCGUAAACGAUGAGCACUAGGUGUCGGGGGAAUCGACCCCCUCGGUGUCGUAGCCAACGCGUUAAGUGUUCCGCCUGGGGAGUACGCACGCAAGUGUGAAACUCAAAGGAAUUGACGGGGGCCCGCACAAGCGGUGGAGUAUGUGGUUUAAUUCGAUGCAACGCGAAGAACCUUACCAGGGUUUGACAUCCUGCGAAUCCCUUGGAAACUUGGGAGUGCCUUCGGGAGCGCAGAGACAGGUGGUGCAUGGCUGUCGUCAGCUCGUGUCGUGAGAUGUUGGGUUAAGUCCCGCAACGAGCGCAACCCACGUCUUUAGUUGCCAGCAUUUAGUUGGGCACUCUAGAGAGACCGCCGGUGAUAAACCGGAGGAAGGUGUGGAUGACGUCAAGUCAUCAUGCCCCUUACAUCCUGGGCUACACACGUACUACAAUGCUACGGACAAAGGGCAGCAAACUCGCGAGAGCUAGCAAAUCCCAUAAACCGUGGCUCAGUUCAGAUCGUAGGCUGCAACUCGCCUACGUGAAGGAGGAAUCGCUAGUAAUCGCAGGUCAGCAUACUGCGGUGAAUACGUUCCCGGGCC